UUCGUCGUGUACUUUUUAUAUAGUGCGCUAUAUAUGCAUAUAUAAAAACAUAAGAAUUUCUCAAUUCUCAACAAUUAAUCAUCAACAAUUAGUCCCUUUGAAAACAGAUCUUCAUCAGGUUUGUAUUUUUUGGAUAGAAAUACAAAAUGGAGUUCUUGAAGCUUUUUAUUGUUGCAUUGAUGCCUGUUCUUAAGGUACUAUUGAUCACUGUUCUUGGAACAUUCCUUGCACUUGAUCGUUUUGAUAUACUCAGUAGAGAGACUGCAAGGAAAAACUUGAAUACUGUGGUUUAUGCCAUUGAAUGUCCUUCUCACAUUUAUAAUUGGAGCAGCUCUUGGAUGGUUGGUAGUUAAAUUGAUGAGAGUUCCUCAUCAUCUUCAAGGCCUUGUGUUGGGGUGUUGUGCUGCAGGUAGAAAAAUUCACUUACAUUUUUUAAAUUAUCUCCUUACACAUCUAAUUAUCAUAUAUAAUUUUUUUCAAUGACUAAAAAACAUUGUAAAUUAUCAUCUACACGAAAUUUAGGAAAUUUGCCCUUGAUUAUUGCCCCAGCUGUUUGUAAAUAAAGAGGCAACCCUUUUGGAGAUGCGGAUAUUUGUCGUAGAAAUAGACUUGCUUAUGCUUCUCUAUCGAUGGCGGUACGAUACUUGAUUAAUGCAUAUUUAAACUAACGGUGAAAUUGUCAGAAUUACGACGAUAAUCAUAGUAUUACACUAUAGUUAGUUGUUAGGUUAACUAGAGUAAAUAGUUUGGUUAGAGUUAGUUACACCAACUAAUCUCUAUAUAUGACAUACAUUGUACCAUUUUGAUUAUUCUUUUAACAAUCUACUCAUUCUACUAUGAAUUUUUAUGAGUGUCACCCACAUAAAUACUCCUAUGAUUGCUUUGUUGUUGAUCAGUAUGAUCUCUA